ACAGCAGCCGCGGUAAUACAGAGGGUGCAAGCGUUAAUCGGAAUUACUGGGCGUAAAGCGCGCGUAGGUGGUUUGUUAAGUUGGAUGUGAAAGCCCCGGGCUCAACCUGGGAACUGCAUCCAAAACUGGCAAGCUAGAGUACGGUAGAGGGUGGUGGAAUUUCCUGUGUAGCGGUGAAAUGCGUAGAUAUAGGAAGGAACACCAGUGGCGAAGGCGACCACCUGGACUGAUACUGACACUGAGGUGCGAAAGCGUGGGGAGCAAACAGGAUUAGAUACCCGCGUAGUCCCUGUCUCUUAUACACA
rnacentral:rRNA from 1 species